UUUGAUUGAUUUUGGUGACGAAUUACGCAUCCCUUUGGAUUACUGUUGGAUUGCUCUUAAUACCUUGUCAUCAGACAUUGAUUCUGCAAAGGAAGAAACAACACAAGCUACGACAACGGCUACUGCAUUCUCGGCCACGACAUCACAGAAAACGACGAGCGGAAGUUCAACAACGUAUCGUCUUUGCCAACAAUGCAAGAAAAGGAUGAGUACCCUAUGACACGAUAGUCAUUCCUUAUGCGUAAAUUGUGGGCCUGUUCAAUAUAAUAUAAAGACCAGAUGUUUGGAAUGUCAGGAGUGGUCUUUGGACCAGAUGUUAGGGUAUCUCAAACGUAGGAAAGGUCUUGUAUUAAGAAGUAAGUGUAGGCAGGAAGAGACUAACGUAGAUCAAGAUAAAGACUUAGAGACAGUGCUCUUUAAGAGACUUGAGAGUAGGCUGACAUCGAGUAUGACAUCUCUGUUACCGAUUUUAUGUCAAGAUUAAGUGAGGAUAGAUCGAGCAAUAGGGAUACUGAAAUUACUAAUCGUUCUUUUCCAGCUCCCCUGCCUGUUCCAGAACCAGCCCUAACCGGUGCUGGGGGUUAUGGGGAUCCGCAAGCCCACAGGGCAGGAUCCGCCGUCCCCCCUGGCGCGGAGCAGGCAGUGUUGGCAGCAGAUUCCCCUUCCCUCGAUGUGUAAGUUCUCAGGAUGAUAAAAA